AUUGAACGCUGGCGGCAGGCCUAACACAUGCAAGUCGAACGAGUGGCGGACGGGUGAGUAAUGUCUGGGAAACUGCCUGAUGGAGGGGGAUAACUACUGGAACCGGUAGCUAAUACCGCAUACCAUCAGAUGUGCCCAGAUGGGAUUAGCUAGUUGGUGGGGUAACGGCUCACCAAGGCGACGCUCCCUAGCUGGUCUGAGAGGAUGACCAGCCACACUGGAACUGAGACACGGGCCAGACGCCUACGGGAGGCAGCAGUGGGGAAUAUUUCACAAUGGGCGCAAGCCUGAUGCAGCCAUGCCGCGUGGAUGAAGAAGGCCUUCGGGUUGUAAAGUACUUUCAGCGGGGAAGCGGUACCCGCAGAAGAAGCACCGGCUUACUCCGUGCCAGCAGGCGCGGUAAUUC
rnacentral:rRNA from 1 species